rnacentral:ncRNA from 1 species
CUUAUCAAGAGUGAUGGAGGGGUUGGGCCCGAUGAAAUCCGGCAACCGGCAGAACCGGUGCUAAAUCCUACGGUGAAAGCCGAAAGAUGAGG